rnacentral:rRNA from 1 species
AUUGAACGCUGGCGGCAGGCCUAACACAUGCAAGUCGAACGAGUGGCGGACGGGUGAGUAAUGUCUGGGAAACUGCCUGAUGGCGGGGGAUAACUACUGGAAACGGUAGCUAAUACCGCAUACCAUCGGAUGUGCCCAGAUGGGAUUAGCUAGUAGGUGGGGUAAAGGCUCACCUAGGCGACGAUCCCUAGCUGGGCUGAGAGGAUGACCAGCCAAACGGGAACUGAGGCACGGUCCAGACUCCUACGGGAGGCAGCAGUGGGGAAUAUUGAACAAUGGGCGCAAGCCUGAUGCAGCCAUGCCGCGUGUGUGAAGAAGGCCUUCGGGUUGUAAAGCACUUUCAGUGGGGAGACGUUACCCGCAGAAGAAGCACCGGCUAACGUCGUGCCAGCCGACGCGGUAAUAC